UGUGCCAUCAUGCCGCAGGUCCUCCGCCGCCGGAGUCCAGCAUCCGCGAAGGCUAGGACUCCAUUUUCCCGCCCGCCAUGAGGACUGCGCAGACCCGAGGAAAUCGGGCAGGUGGGUUACUGCGGAAUGUUGGAGACUGCAGCAGCAUGUCAUUUUGAGUUAUCUUUGUCCAGGUUGCAGACUAAUGGAGCCAGCCAAGAUUGGAACCAGAGGCCCUCGCUUUCCAUGAGGUGGCUGUCCAUUCCUUGGAUUUUGAGAAAAGUUGCAUGCAGUUCAGCUCAGUCUAGGAGGAGGAAAUAUCUCAAGAUAUGAUGGUCAAUCCUGGGGAGCCCUAAUUGGCAUUGAUUUGGAGUUUGAAACCAUCCCGCUUCAAUGUUUGCAGGAGCCUGCUCACCCUGUCUCUGGUCUUUAACAGCUUUAUCUGGUUGCUAUUUUCUUGCACUUGUUAAGAUACUCCAAAACAAACUUCUGUACCGUUUAAUAAAAAUUUUUGUUUACAAAUUUUACCAUUGCAUUUCAUUGAGCCUGGAAAUGUCUUUAUGCAACUAACAUAAACUAGUAUGAAAUAAAGGAUUCUUUGAUGCUUCUUAAAAA